rnacentral:tmRNA from 1 species
GGGGACGACUGGUUUUGACAGGUAUUUUUAUCGUAGGUGUAAAGCAUAUCGCAGGGUGGACUGCGUUAAAAACCGCAAAAAAAAUAAACGCAAAUUAUAAUAAUAAUUUAGCAUACGCUGCCUAACUUAGUUUAGGUUGCUUGUCUGACAUAGUAGGCUUACUGGACUGUGUUAGGCAUUAAUUUAAAGUAAGAAACCUUGAUGUUUUUUAUCCUUUUGAGGACACAAGGGGAUUUUUUCAAAAGGACAACUAAUUGCAGUUUGUUUAUGGAAUGCACUUAGUUGAAUUUAAACAUAAACUAAGUAUGUAGAAAAGCCUGUGAGGAAUAUUUGGACGUGGGUUCGAUACCCACCGUCUCCACCA